rnacentral:rRNA from 1 species
GAUGAACGCUGGCGGCGUGCCUAAUACAUGCAAGUCGAGCGAACAGACGAGAGUGCUUGCACUCUCUGACGUUAGCGGCGGACGGGUGAGUAACACGUGGGUAACCUACCUAUAAGACUGGGAUAACUUCGGGAAACCGGAGCUAAUACCGGAUAAUAUUUAGCUUCGCAUGAAGCAAGAGUGAAAGACGGUUCUGCUGUCACUUAUAGAUGGACCCGCGGUGUAUUAGCUGGUUGGUGAGGUAACGGCUCACCAAGGCAACGAUACAUAGCCGACCUGAGAGGGUGAUCGGCCACACUGGGACUGAGACACGGCCCAGACUCCUACGGGAGGCAGCAGUAGGGAAUCUUCCGCAAUGGACGAAAGUCUGACGGAGCAAUGCCGCGUGAGUGAAGAAGGUGUUCGGAUCGUAAAACUCUGUUGUAAGGGAAGAACAAGUACGUUAGUAACUGAACGUACCUUGACGGUACCUUACCAGAAAGCCACGGCUAACUACGUG